GCCGAGCUGGGUAACAUCAGCUUGUGACCCAAGUGGGGGCAUCCUUGUGAUGGGACAAGGCUUUGCCUUAGCCAGGCUGGGUUGGAGGCUGCAUUAUGCUGGCCUGCCCGCUCCAAGUCGAGAGUUGAGCCAUGGGAUCUGGGCGAAGGCAUAGGUCUCCUGGUUCCUAGACUAGAGGGCACCGCGUGAGGCUGGUUUCACAGAGCAGCGAUCACCCCUGCCUCUCGACAGUGGAGGGAUUACAGGCUGCUGCACUUCUAGCCCAUGAAGCCCGACUAACUUAGCUCUUGAACCAUCAU
rfam:Cajanus cajan chromosome 3, whole genome shotgun sequence.